CCUACGGGUGGCAGCAGUGAGGAAUAUUGGUCAAUGGCCGAGAGGCUGAACCAGCCAAGUCGCGUGAGGGAUGACGGCCCUACGGGUUGUAAACCUCUUUUGUCGGGGAGCAAAGCGAACCACGUGUGGUUCAUUGCGAGUACCCGAAGAAAAAGCAUAGGCUAACUCCGUGCCAGCAGCCGCGGUAAUACGGAGGAUGCGAGCGUUAUCCGGAUUCAUUGGGUUUAAAGGGUGCGUAGGUUGUUUUAUAAGUUAGCGGUGAAAUACCGAUGCUCAACAUCGGGGCUGCCGCUAAUACUGUAGGACUAGAGAUCGGAUGCAGCAGGCGGAAUGUGUAGUGUAGCGGUGAAAUGCAUAGAUAUUACACAGAACACCGAUUGCGAAGGCAGCUUGCUAGGCCGGAUCUGACACUGAUGCACGAAAGCGUGGGGAUCGAACAGGAUUAGAUACCCCUGUAGUC
rnacentral:rRNA from 1 species